rnacentral:rRNA from 1 species
GUGGGGAAUAUUGCACAAUGGGCGCAAGCCUGAUGCAGCAACGCCGCGUGAGGGAUGACGGCCUUCGGGUUGUAAACCUCUUUUAGUAGGGAAGAAGCGAAAGUGACGGUACCUGCAGAAAAAGCACCGGCUAACUACGUGCCAGCAGCCGCGGUAAUACGUAGGGUGCAAGCGUUGUCCGGAAUUAUUGGGCGUAAAGAGCUCGUAGGCGGCUUGUCGCGUCUGCUGUGAAAUCCCGGGGCUCAACCCCGGGCCUGCAGUGGGUACGGGCAGGCUAGAGUGCGGUAGGGGAGAUUGGAAUUCCUGGUGUAGCGGUGGAAUGCGCAGAUAUCAGGAGGAACACCGAUGGCGAAGGCAGAUCUCUGGGCCGCUACUGACGCUGAGGAGCGAAAGCAUGGGGAGCGAACAGGAUUAGAUACCCCAGUAGUCC